UACGGAGGGGGCAAGCGUUGUUCGGAAUCACUGGGCUUAAAGGGCGCGUAGGCGGGCCACCCAGUCCGGGGUGAAAUCUUUCGGCUCAACCGGAAAAGGGCCUUGGAUACUGGUGGUCUGGAGGAAGGUAGGGGCAUGCGGAACUUCCGGUGGAGCGGUGAAAUGCGUUGAUAUCGGAAGGAACGCCGGUGGCGAAAGCGGCGUGCUGGACCUUUGCUGACGCUGAUGCGCGAAAGCCAGGGGAGCGAACGGG
rnacentral:rRNA from 1 species